AUUGAACGCUGGCGGAAUGCUUUACACAUGCAAGUCGAACGGCAGCACGGAUUUCGGUCUGGUGGCGAGUGGCGAACGGGUGAGUAAUACAUCGGAACGUGCCCAAUCGUGGGGGAUAACGUAGCGAAAGCUACGCUAAUACCGCAUACGAUCUAAGGAUGAAAGCGGGGGAUCGCAAGACCUCGCGCGAUUGGAGCGGCAGAUGGCAGAUUAGGUAGUUGGUAGGGUAAAGGCCUACCAAGCCGACGAUCUGUAGCUGGUCUGAGAGGAUGAGCAGCCACACGGGGACUGAGACACGGCCCAGACUCCUACGGGAGGCAGCAGUGGGGAAUUUUGGACAAUGGACGCAAGUCUAAUCCAGCCAUUCCGCGUGCAGGAUGAAGGCCCUCGGGUUGUAAACUGCUUUUGUACAGAACGAAAAGGCUCUGGUUAAUACCUAGGGCUCAUGACGGUACUGUAAGAAUAAGCACCGGCUAACUACGUGCCAGCAGCCGCCGUAA
rnacentral:rRNA from 1 species